UACGUAGGGUGCGAGCGUUAAUCGGAAUUACGUGGGCGUAAAGCGUGCGCAGGCGGUUUGUAAGCCAGAUGUGAAAUCCCCGGGCUUAACCUGGGAAUGGCAUUUGGGACUGCAAGGCUUGAGUGCGGCAGAGGAGACGUGGAAUUCCUGGUGUAGCAGUGAAAUGCGUAGAGUAUCAGGAGGAACACCGAUGGCGAAGGCAGGUCUCUGGGCUGACACUGACGU
rnacentral:rRNA from 1 species